GAACCUAGUGAUCUGUAACUUAGUGGCGGACGGGUGAGUAACGCGCGGGUAACCUGCCUUGUACUGGGGGAUAACACCUGGAAACAGGUGCUAAUACCGCAUAAGCGCACGGAGCCGCAUGGCUCAGUGUGAAAAACUCCGGUGGUACAAGAUGGACCCGCGUCUGAUUAGCCAGUUGGGGGGGUAACGGCCCACCAAAGCGACGAUCAGUAGCCGGCCCGAGAGGGUGAACGGCCACAUUGGGACUGAGACACGGCCCAAACUCCUACGGGAGGCAGCAGUGGGGAAUAUUGCACAAUGGGGGAAACCCUGAUGCAGCAACGCCGCGUGAGUGAAGAAGUAAUUCGUUAUGUAAAGCUCUAUCAGCAGGGAAGAAAAUGACGGUACCUGAGUAAGCAGCCCCGGCUAACUACGUGCCAGCAGCCGCGGUAAUACGUAGGGGGCAAGCGUUAUCCGGAUUUACUGGGUGUAAAGGGAGCGUAGACGGCAGCGCAAGUCUGAAGUGAAAUCCCAUGGCUUAACCAUGGAACUGCUUUGGAAACUGUGCAGCUGGAGUGCAGGAGAGGUAAGCGGAAUUCCUAGUGUAGCGGUGAAAUGCGUAGAUAUUAGGAGGAACACCAGUGGCGAAGGCGGCUUACUGGACUGUAACUGAC
rnacentral:rRNA from 1 species